rnacentral:lncRNA from 1 species
GAUGGCUGACAAAAUCCUCCCUCAAAGGAUUCGGGAGCUGGUCCCCGAGUCCCAGGCUUACAUGGACCUCUUGGCAUUUGAGAGGAAACUGGAUCAAACCAUCAUGCGGAAGCGGGUGGACAUCCAGGAGGCUCUGAAGAGGCCCAUGAAGCAAAAGCGGAAGCUGCGACUCUAUAUCUCCAACACUUUUAACCCUGCGAAGCCUGAUGCUGAGGAUUCCGACGGCAGCAUUGCCUCCUGGGAGCUACGGGUGGAGGGGAAGCUCCUGGAUGAUGUACGUCCCGGCCCAGGUCUCUCCAGGUGUCCUGGGGUGGGCAUGGGCUGCACUGAGAACAGAACAAGGUGUCUGCACUAAGGGCUAGGGAGUCAGCCCAGGCUGGGUGGAGGGGCAGGCCUAGAGACAUUCCAAGUGCAGAGGAUUUCAUCUAAGCCCACUGCCCUGUCGGCUGCCAACUUGGCCUCCUUCUGCUCCUCCCACCUCGUCCCUGUUCUGCCCCCAUGGUCCCUGUUGCUCUCCCACAGCCCAGCAAACAGAAGCGGAAGUUCUCUUCUUUCUUCAAGAGUUUGGUCAUCGAGCUGGACAAAGAUCUUUAUGGCCCUGACAACCACCUCGUUGAGUGGCAUCGGACACCCACGACCCAGGAGACGGACGGCUUCCAGGUGAAACGGCCUGGGGACCUGAGUGUGCGCUGCACGCUGCUCCUCAUGCUGGACUACCAGGUCUGCACCUGCCAUGCUGCCCCGUACACGCCACACAAGGCCCUCAGGGCAGGGCUAGGUCCCAAAGUGGUGCAUCUU